UAUGGCCAUAUCAUGUUGAAACAUUAGUUCUCGUACGAUCACAGCAGUUAAGCAACGUUGAGCCUGGUCAGUACCUAAAUGGGUGACUGUUUGGGAAUACCAG